rnacentral:rRNA from 1 species
UACGGAGGAUGCAAGCGUUAUCCGGAAUGAUUGGGCGUAAAGCGUCCGCAGGUGGCAAUGUAAGUCUGCUGUCAAAGCGUCUGGCUCAACCAGAUAAAGGCAGUGGAAACUACAUAGCUAGAGUAAGGUAGGGGUAGAAGGAAUUCCUGGUGUAGCGGUGAAAUGCGUAGAGAUCAGGAAGAACACCGGUGGCGAAAGCGCUCUGCUGGACCUUAACUGACACUGAGGGACGAAAGCUAGGGGAGCGAAUGGG